AAUCCCUUAUAAGCGCCCCACCUCCCUAACCGGGCAUGACUUCUCUGGCCUGUAGUACCCAGGCCGUGAGAACAUCACCUGGGGGUAUUUAAAUAAAGUACCUGGCCCUUUGUUGCCUCUCUUUGCCUGCUUAUUCCGGCUAGAAUUUAUCUUACAGAUGGUGCCGAAACGCGGGAGGAGUGUGAGCGCAGGGCCCCGACCGGCCACUGGCGGCCCCACCCCCUCCUUCCCCGACCCAGGACCUCAGCCUGCUCUCCGCUGCGUGGACUAUUUUCCGAAAUAUCAGAAUUUCCUUAUGUCAACUGUCUUACAGUAAGCUCUCAUCAGAUCUUUAACCACUGUCAUUUGUUCCUCCAACAGCAGCUAACCCAGAUGACCCAAGUCGCCAACAACCAGAUGUUACUUCACCGUUACGCACCUCUUCCCACUGAACCCCCUCCUUCGGCCUAAUCCAGCCUCAAACCCCCACGCUGCCCCUUGUCAGCUGGAAGUAGCCAGAUUGAGUCGUCGCCCAUUAUGACCAAAAGGCUGGAAUGUUAGGCUGGAGAAAGGAAAAACAAGGACAUGCAAACAGAACAGAGAGAUGCCAUAGGGGGAGAACAAACCAGACCCCUAAGUCCGUGCCGUAUAUGGAAAGGGGACAGCUCUCCCUGAAUUCCAUCCUGAUGUGCCAACUGGGACGUGGAUGUCAGCCUCCUCCCUCUUGGAAGGAAAAAAGUUUCUAGUUGACUAUUAUGUCACCUUUAGCCAAUCAUACCUCUCAACACCCCGGUAAGAUAGUUUGCCCACUCCUCCCCCUCCUAAUCCCUUAUAAGCGCCCCACCUCCCUAACCGGGCGUGACUUCUCCGGCCUGUAGUACCCAGGCCGUGAGAACAUCACCUGGGGGUAUUUAAAUAAAGUACCUGGCCCUUU